UGUCUGCGUGUGCGUGUGUGUGUGUGUAUUUAAAGCUGAGCUGUUCUCCAUCACACCCAUUCCCAGCAGCAUGGACAUGGACAUGGACUCUGAGCUGGAGUGCAGGAUCUGUUACCGGACCUAUAACCCUGGUCCCCGGUGUCCCCGGGACCUUCAGUGUAAACACGCCUUCUGUGAGAAAUGCCUUCAGACUCUGUCCCGACUCUCGCCACGGGGCGCGGAGGGAUACCGGCUGAUCGUGUGUCCGCUGUGCCGGGUCACCACCACCGUCACCGGGCGGAGGGUCGGAGCCGAGCUGCGGGUCAGUGAGCGGCUGAUGGAGCGGCUGUUAGCGGAGGGGCUAACGGAGGAGGAGGAGGAGGAAGAGGAAGAGGAGGUCGUGUCAGGAGGAAGACUCCGGAGGACUUGGAGGAAAGUUUGGAGAAAGAUCAGAGGAGAUUUUAUUUCCCUAAGGACGAGUUCAGGGAUCUCAGCUUGCUGUCGUUCAACUGGUUUUGAGCGUUUCACGACUUGGAAACCAUGUACAUAAAAUGCUGGAGACCUGAAGACGAGCCAUUGCUGGUUUUAAAUGAACUUUUAGCUUCACUAAAGCUUGUUAGCUAUUGUUGCACCUGUGACGAUUAAAGCUGUGAAAACCAAAGAGAUCUUACCUGAAAGAGAUUUCUUAUAAUGCUGUAUUUCUUCUUGACUACUUUGCUUCUGAAAUAAAGAUGUUGUUAGACCAACUUUGAGGCUUUGUGUUGCUUCUGGCGUGGGUUUUGGAUGAAGGAAAGGAAACCAGUGCAAACCCAGCACACCACGGCACUGACCCAGAGUCCAGCUGAAAGGCAUUGAGUCCAAUCAAAGCAGACUCAAACCCAACAGACUGACAAACACUGCUGCUGCGUCCAUUGCAAGAUCUCACUUUUGACAAUCUUUCAUAGUAACUUGGGUGGAAACUGCUGCUAUAACCAUGUUCAGCAAGUUUCCAAUCUCGAGGUAAAUAACAAUAAUAAUGUUGUUAAAGCCUGGUGGCGAUGGACUCAUGGCCUUUCCUUUGAAACAAUGCUGUGCGGUGUGUGUUUCCCUCUGCAGACUGGCUGUCUUUGCACUGAUCUGUUCAGCUGUCAUGUCAUUUAUCAUGUGUUCGGAUGCUGCGAGAGCUCGUCCAAUGGCAGCUCAAAAGCACAAAGGUGUGAGACAGGUUUUUCGGAGGCGAUGGAUUUCUCCAUACAACAGUCACCCUCCCUCCCCUGUUGGCCUGCACGCGCCGAAAACGGGACGACAAAUUGAAACAGGCAUUAAAACGGAGACUCGUGGAGGCUUCAGACCGACACCGUUAAUAAUUGAGCGUCCACAAAACACUCCGAGGUUUGUAAAGGGCAACGUUCGGUUCAAUCGCCACAGCCCACGCAACGGCAAGUAUCGUCUGGGGAUGCACAAAGUUCAAAGAGGUCAUGGAAAUGGAAAUGUGAAGAGACCGGUAAACAACGCGUUCAUGCGGCAAGCUCAGCAGACGGAACGGUAUGAGAAAUGGCUUUCAAAAAACAUAGGCCACACCCACUCUCAGAAAAAUCCCCAAAAUGGAGAUUUAUUUGAGGUCCACAGAAAAAACACUCAGAAAAAAGCUCCUUAUCCAUUUAAGCAAAGAUCGAAAUCUCACACUGGAGGAGUCGGACACAAGGGGGCACUAGUGAGAGUGAAUGGGAAUAAUGCGGCUCAGAAGUCUUCCGGUUUUCCUUCCCAGACUGGUGGAUAUUGGAAUGCUGUGAUGUCGCCCCCAGUAGGAAAUAGAGGUGUUUAUAACAAAGCCAACGAUUAUCUUGCACCGAGAUGGAUAACCGGCGGUAUCCAAUCGAGCAAAUUUCACAAGGUUAGCAAUCAUCCGACUCCUCGCGUGGCAUCACUUGCCAAUAACUUUGUGAGUUCGGUCAUUAAACGAGACCCAAAUCCAAAACGAGUGGCGCCUUCUAUCAGGGAUUUCUUUAAGCCUCGAGGCUCAGUGAGCGGCAGCGACGCCCUUAAAAAUAAAAAGGUUAAGUCAUAUCAAAUCCAGGACGCCCACACCUUACUCGCUACAAUUACCGGUGAUGUACAAGAGGCUUUGAAUAGGGUCAGCGAUGAUGAAACACUGCUACACAAGCAGAACCCCUUUAGUGCGCAAGUUCCCCAACGUUUUGGCUUAAACUCGGCAAAACUGAACCAAAGAAGCUCAACUAAACCAGAAAGGGGGAAUGCAUUUGUGAGCGGUCCACAAGGUUUCACCACCAAUCAACUGAUUACAGUCAAACCACAAUCACGACUCCCAGGGCGUGGUGAGAAAAGGAUUUUCCCAUCACGUCUUGUACCUUCAUGGGCUAGACUAGACUCCAAAAGAGGGAAAUCUCUAUCAGGCCAAGCUAAUACCACAACAAGAAGGCCACCGCAUGAUUAUGAGGCAAGACAAUCCGGCAAAAGAUUGUUUGACUUGAGAACUUUUAAUAAUCCUCUUUGGGAAGCCGUCAAAGAGCCAUCUACUUUCCUUUCCAAAGUAAAGCCUUCCUCUCAACUAUUUGGCUUUGGGAAUGAAAAAGACAUGGUGCACACGUCUGUGCCUUCAAAGUACAGCUUUGACUGGAGGGGGGCGCUCCCUACACCUCCAGCACAACCUGUCAUUACACACUCAGAUAGUUAUUUAAACCCAUUUGUAACCGAAACCAAAACUGUUAAAAUUCCCAGGAUUUUCACUUCUGGUUUUAGAAGUGUCAAGCGUAUACUUUCUGAGCAUGAACCACCAGUAGAAGGAAAUUCCAAAGAUACUAAUCUCCAAAUCUACUCUAAGACUUUCAAUUUAAAAGCACCUGAUACUCCACCUCGACCAGAAGCCAAAACUUCACUUUCAGACCCAAGCGAAGGUUUGACAGCAAAGAUCCCGCAAAUCUGGAAGCCGAGAAGCGUCCGAGUUCACAGAUGGGACAAUCGCACAAGGGACCAAGAGGCCAAAAGCACAGCUAGCCAAACAAAACCAAACAAAGUGAAACCUUUCUUCAUGACCUCGGGAACCACUAAACGUCCCGCCAGAGUCACACCUGACAAGAGGAACAACAAUACUUUCUAUGAUCAACUGAAGUUUUGGUUAGAUAAGAACGCGACUGAUCAUGAUAGGAGAAAAAUAUGGCACAAACGCAUGAAAGGAGACCCAACAACAGGAUUCACCGUCUCUUCAGCUCGACUCAGACCAAACUUGGGCCUCGAUAUCAAACCUAGUCCAACCCCAGAGUCAAAAACAUCAGAAAAGAAACAAAUUUUAAGUAAAGCAAUCUCGCUGAUGAACACGCCCUUUAGCAGCAGUAUGAGAAGCAAACAUGUGAAGAGGAAGCACAGCAAGGGAAAAGGGAACAACUCUGGAGAGCUGCCCAAGCACCCGGCCAGGAUCAAACCCGUCACCUACACUGAUAACCUCGGAAGUGUUUCGUUCAGUGCUGCCAGAGCCAUCAACCACACACCAAACGUAUCAGCUAAUGGGGAGUAUCUUCCAACCCUGACAGCUGAAGCCAAGCAGCCAUGGGCCGAUCACUGGGUCCUGAACUCUGACGACAGCGUCAACAGAAACUCAAGACCUGAACCAAAUGCUGGAGAACACAAAGUUGUAAUCCCUGCUGAGAAAAAGG
ensembl:lncRNA